UAUUCUGCCCCAUGGGGAAGGAUGAGAAGCUUCGACUAAGGUUCGACUCGAGCGAAGCGAGAAAACGUUGCCGCAGGCAACGGCCCGAAGGGCGAGGCGCUUUAGCGCCGAGUAAUCCUUCCCCCACCACUG
rnacentral:sRNA from 1 species